rnacentral:rRNA from 1 species
GACAGAGGAUGCAAGCGUUGUCCGGAUUUAUUGGGUUUAAAGGGUGCGUAGGCGGCCCUGUAAGUCAGUGCUGAAAUAUCCCGGCUUAACCGGGAGGGUGGCAUUGAUACUGCAGGGCUUGAGUACAGAUGAAGUAGGCGGAAUUGACGGUGUAGCGGUGAAAUGCAUAGAUAUCGUCAAGAACACCGAUAGCGAAGGCAGCUUACUAAGCUGUAACUGACGCUGAGGCACGAAAGUGUGGGGAUCAAACAGG